ACAGUGUUAAGACUGUUUAUCAAAAUAUAUUCAUUUAAUAAGUAGCGGAAGUGAGUAUUUGACAUUUCGUGCUGGCUCCCGAUUGGUCGCGCCAGUUCUAAUCGUAGCGCUUCCGGUGAGACAAGAUGGCGGCAACUGACGCUACGGUUGGAGGGCAGAACGAGUGAGACUACUAACGAGUGCAGAUCAUGUUGUCAGAUUGUUAUAUCCAAACGUUGUGAUUUGAUGUAACUUACUUAACUGUGUCGGAGAGUACGUGAAUAUACGUCUUGCUGAAUCAUCGGAUUGUUUUAUUGAACUGUCGUUCACAGUUCAGAAGGCGGGAUUAGUCGAGGUUCUUGUAUAAAAACCUUGGUGAAAAAACUUACGCCCUUGAAGUUAUAAUCAUGGCAAGUGGAAAAGAGUCGAGUCCAGGACCGUCUCGUAAACGAAAAAGAGACGAGUCGUAUGAAGAGGAUGACAGCUAUACCCCAGAGCGCCAAAGACGUCGGCACUCGGGGCAUCGCAGCAGCCGUAGCCGGUAUAGAAAGAGCAGGAAGGUGAGGCGUUCGAGAUCUCGUCGGCGAAGGACACCCAGUUCUUCACGUCGUCAGCACGAGCACGAGCUGACCAGAUUACGACCAGGUGAACCCCAAUCAGUCACACCAGCUGAACCUAUCCAGAUGACCCCGGCAGGUGCAGAUACAGCUUCACAGGAAUUGCCUAACUCAUCUGUUAGUAAUAGGGAGAUGAUAGAUUUUGCUACACAAUUUAAAGAACUCAUUCAGACUAUGAAAGCGGGAGGCAGUAAUGAAAGAUUUCCGACUAUGAAUGUUAUACCUGAAUAUGACCCUGCUAAACGGACGCAGACUAUUAGUACAUGGUUAUUGAAGGUUAACGAAUGCGCGCAAAUUUAUAGCUGGACAGAAAGACAAACAAUCCAUUAUGCCUUACCGAAGUUAGUAGGCCUCGCACAACAAUGGUAUCAAGGAUUGCCAAGUCUCCUGUUUUCAUGGUCUGAGUGGCAGGAGAAACUGAAAUCAGUCUUUCCAAGUGACGAGAAUUAUGGGCGACUGUUGACUGAAAUGUUGGCCUGUAGGGCGCGAUUUGGUGAAUCGUUAGAGGAAUACUAUUACAAAAAGAUUAUUUUCUUGAAUCGUUGUAAUAUAACGGGUAAGAACGCAAUAGACUGUCUGUUGUUCGGUAUUGAGGAUAGGUCCGUAAGGACAAGCGCAGAGGCUGCUCAAUUCACAGAGCCUGAUAAAUUGUUAGUAUACUUAAGAAAUGUCAAAACUACAAAACCCAGUGAAAGGACCAACACAUCUUUUCAGGCCGGCACGUCCGACAAUAGGCGUCCUAGGUUUAAUAAAUCUGUAACCAGUAAUAAUGAACCUAAAAGCAACACAAAAUGUUACAAUUGUGGCGAAGAGGGUCACCCAUAUUUUAAAUGUAAACUUCCAAUCAAAAGGUGCAACUCAUGUAAUAAAGUUGGGCAUAUUGCUAGCGAUUGCCUUUCAAAGAAAGAAAAUACUGAGAAAAAGACUGUUUUACGCAUAUCGCUUAAGCAGGGUAAUGAUACUAAAUAUUUUAAAUCCGCGAUAGUAAAUGGUAAAGAUUUGGAAUGUUACAUAGAUUUCGGCAGUGAAUGCACUGUAGUGAGGGAAUCGGUCGCUCACAAAUUAUCAGAUGAUUGGAUUCUAACAGACUUACCGGUGCUUAUAGGAUUCGGUGAAGGACUAGUUAACUGCAUAGGAAAGUUUAAUGUCACUCUGAAAAUAGACUCAGCUCAAGCGGGCUUGGAAGCGUUGGUUGUCCCAGAUAAUCUUUUGAAAGUUCCUCUGUUGGUAGGGCAAACAUUUACCGAACAAGAACAUAUUGUUGUUUAUAAAACUAGUAAAACGCUUAAAAUAUCAACAAACACAUUGCAGGUUAAAGAAAAUAUACCAUUGUAUGUUCAUGAGUCGGUGAAUGUUAGGGGCUAUACGGUUGUAGAUGUGUAUUCGAAACCAACGUAUAAUGGUGAUUUAUUUAUUGAGCCAAGUAUGUGUUUACAGCCAAGAAAAGAAUACGACAGUAUACAAAGUGUGAUUAAAAUGGUAGAAGGUCAUGGUCAGGUGGUGAUCAAAGGUCUAGUGGCAGAGGGCUUUAGUUUAGAUAAAGACGUAUUGUUAGUCCGUGCGAUACCUUUAAAGGAAGCUCCUAUGCCUGCAGAAACAUUUAACGUCAAUAGGGUCGAAUGUAAUAAUGGUAAUCAAGGCAGCGAUUCCUUGAUUGAUGAAACAAUGGUAAAUGUAGAUAAAAAUAUAAAGGAUGAUGACCGGCAUAAAUUAGUUGAUUUGUUAAAUGAGUACAGAGAUUGCUUCGCGUUUUCGAUCAAGGAGCUAGGGUGUGUUACCAACACGGAAAUGAGCAUUAAACUUAAUGACCCUACACCUGUGGUAUAUAGACCAUAUCGGUUACCCCUUUCAGAGCGAGAGGUAGUUAGGGAUAUAGUUCAGGAACUAGAAGAAUCGGGUAUCGUGCAACAAUCUUCUUCAGAAUACGCAUCACCGAUUUUGUUAGUUAAAAAGAAAACAGGCGAUUACCGCCUUUGUGUGGAUUUUAGGACUCUCAACAAACGUACAAUCAAAGAACAUUAUCCUCUCCCGAGGAUAGAUGAUCAAUUAGAUAACCUUUCUGGUCAUAAAUUUUAUACAGCUUUGGACUUGGUUUCUGGAUAUUAUCAGAUCCCCAUGGCUGAACCCUCGAGACACCUAACUGCGUUCAUAACGCCGGACGGGCAUUAUGAAUUCACAAGAAUGCCCUUUGGGUUAGUUAAUGCACCGUCCACUUUUCAAAGGGCAAUCAAUAACAUUUUAGGUAACGCUAGAUUCAAAGACGCUCUAGCAUACAUGGAUGAUGUGAACAUUCCGUCGAAGACUGUUGAUGAAGGACUUAUUAAAUUGAGGGAGGUAUUAGAGCUGUUUCGCAAAUCAGGGCUGACGUUAAAUCUUAAAAAGUGUCACUUUUUGAUGCAGUCCAUAAAUUAUCUCGGGUUUGAAAUUAGCGAGGAGGGUAUACGGCCUGGUGUUAGCAAGAUAGAAGCGGUAGAGAAAUUUCCCAGACCUACAGACCAGCACAAGGUAAGACAAUUCAUCGGUUUAGCGAGUUUCUUUCGCCGGUUUGUCAAAGGGUUUUCGGCACUUGCAAAACCCUUAACUCAACUGUUGAAGAAGGAUGCCCGCUGGACAUGGGGGGAAGCUGAAGAAAACGCAUUUGUUACAUUGAAAAAUGAGUUAAUUAAACGACCGAUAUUGUCCUUUUACGACCCUUCAUAUGAAACCCAGGUUCACACAGAUGCCUCGAAACAUGGGAUAGCGGGCAUACUUCUUCAAAGACGAGAUAAAGACUCUCCAUUUACUGCAGUCGCAUACUUUAGUAGGCAGACUUCGCCGGAAGAAGCAAAGUUCACCUCUUAUGAUUUAGAAACUCUUGCCGUAGUAUGUUCAGUGCAGCGCUUUCGUGUGUACUUGUUAGGUAUUUCCUUCACCAUUGUCACUGAUUGUAACUCGCUUAGAGCCACCUUUGAUAAGAAAGACAUGUUACCGAGAGUGGCGCGCUGGUGGAGCAUACUCCAAGAAUACGAUUUCAAUAUUGUAUACAAGCCUGGUUUAACCAUGGCUCAUGUUGAUGCGUUGAGCCGUAAUCCCCCUGAUUUAAAAUCGACCCCUGUUUUAAAUAUUCGAAAUAUUAGUUCCAAUUGGAUAACUACGGUACAGAGCAGUGAUCCCGAACUUCAGAGGAUAGUAAACAUAUUUAAUGACCCAGAAAGCAAUAAUGUUGUAGAAAUCAAAAAUAACUACUUGGUCAAGAGGGGGUUGUUAUUUAGGAAAACUGAAGACGGUGAUCGCUGGGUUGUACCAAAAGGCGUCAGAUGGCAGGUGCUGAAGGCUAGUCAUGAUGAUAUUGGCCAUUUUGGUUUCGACAAAACCUAUGAGAAAAUUAAGAGCAAUUAUUGGUUUGCUAAAAUGAGACGAUUUAUUAAGAAAUACGUCGAUUCGUGCUUAGAGUGUGCGCAUGCGAAGGUACCAUCAGGGAAAAAGGCUGGUGAACUACAUCCCAUUGAAAAAGUUGACCGACCGUUUCAUACUAUCCAUAUUGACCACCUGGGUCCCUUCGUACGCAGCAAAAGGAAAAACGCUUACUUACUUAUAAUAAUAGAUGCGUUCACAAAAUAUAUCAUGUUAAUUCCAGUGAAAAGUACAAAAGCUGUUCAUUCGAUUAGAGCUAUUAAACAUUACUUCCACACUUUUGACGUGCCAAAACGGCUAAUAUCUGAUAGAGGGACAUCGUUCACGGCUAAAAGUUUCAAAAAGUACUUACAUUCUCGAGGGGUCAAACAUAUCCUCAACGCAACCGCGACACCACGUGCCAACGGGCAAGUUGAGAGAUACAACCGAACGGUUUUAUCUUCUCUUACUGCUGUUACCCAUGGUAAAUCGGAAACGUCAUGGGACGAAUAUGUUGACGAAGUACAAUGGGGUUUAAACAACACUAUUAAUAAGGGCACGGGUAAGACACCUUCGCAAGCACUUUUUGGUUUUAGACUAUCUGGAAUGUCAGACUCAGUGCUACAAUCACACAUUGAAAUUGACGAUUCAGUGACGCAGAGUGACGAUACACAAAGUAAGAGUACGGUAGAGACUAAUCACUCACUUGAAGAUAUUCGUAGUGAAAUUUCUGAGCAUGUCCGGUUAAAUCAAGAAAAGCAAAAAGCAGCGUUUGAUAAGGGUAGAAAACAGCUCACUUUUCAGGUUGGGGAUUUAGUAAGGUUAGAGAGGGACAUACCAUCGAGUGGGCAGAGUAGAAAGCUAGUAUCUAAACUUCGGGGCCCGUAUCGCGUUGUUGAAGUACUUGACAAUGAUAGGUACGUUGUGGAGGACACUCCACUCUCUCGAAAGGGUAAUAGACCGUUUAGUGGGAUUUUCUCAGUUGACAAAAUGCAUCGUUGGAUGGUAUUCAAUAGGAGUAAUGAUAUUGAUUCUAGCAGUGAAAGUGAUGAGUCGUAACUUUUGAUUGGCAAGGAAGUGUAAUGUAAAAGUCUCGCAUCUGGGCGAAGGAAGUAUUAUAUACAAUUAACAAUGAUAUGAGUAGAUUAGUAAAAUGUGUAACGAGUUAUGAUGUGUUACGAUAGAAUUAUUACAAUACAUUGAAGUUAUGGUUGAUUAACGUGUACAUUGACUUGUUGAGGACUCUUAAUGUCGAAUUCAAGGCUAUAGAGAGUAUUGGAGACAUUAAGGGGCUCCAGUACUAUGAUUAAUUGUUAUGAGACAAUAUUGAAGACAUGAAGGGGCUUCAGUAUUGUGAUUAGUUAUACGAGGCAGUAUUGGAGACAUGAAGGGGCUCCAGUAUUGUAAUUAGUUAUAUAAGUCAGUAUUGGAGACAUGAAGGGGCUCCAGUAUUGUUAUUAUUUAUAUGAGGCAGUAUUGGAGACAUGCAGGGGCUCCAGUACUGUGAUUAGUUUAUAUGAGGCAAUAUUGGAGACAUGAAGGGGCUCCAUGUUGUGAUUAGAUUAUAUGAGGCAGUAUUGGAGACAUGAAGGGGGCUCCAGUACUGCGAUUUAUAUGUAAGUUGUGUUUUGGAAAUGUCCAAUAUAAAUAUUUAAAAUGAUCGCAUCGUUAUUGUUAAACCAGUGUUAUGGAUAGAUAAUAUGUUACAAAUAUAACAUAGUAGAAUAAGUAUGAAAAGCAAAUGGAUCCUAAUUUUGUUAACAUUUUAAAAUUAGGAAAAUAAACAUUAUUAUUGUCAAAUUAAACCCUAACUGUUGAAAUUGAGGCAUGUCAUAGUUUAUAGUUUACUGAUUACUGGCAUUUUAUCGAGACGAUAAAAAGUCAGGAAAGGCCGACUGUUAGCAUUUCAUUGUCAUAAUUAAUUAUUAAAAUAUGUAAUUUAAAUUUAUGUAUAUUUUGAUAAACAGUGUUAAGACUGUUUAUCAAAAUAUAUUCAUUUAAUAAGUAGCGGAAGUGAGUAUUUGACAUUUCGUGCUGGCUCCCGAUUGGUCGCGCCAGUUCUAAUCGUAGCGCUUCCGGUGAGACAAGAUGGCGGCAACUGACGCUACGGUUGGGGGGCAGAACGAGUGAGACUACUAACGAGUGCAGAUCAUGUUGUCAGAUUGUUAUAUCCAAACGUUGUGAUUUGAUGUAACUUACUUAACUGUGUCGGAGAGUACGUGAAUAUACGUCUUGCUGAAUCA